rnacentral:rRNA from 1 species
AAAUGNGAUACUUGGUGUGAAUUGCAGAAUCCCGUGAACCAUCGAGUCUUUGAACGCAAGUUGCGCCCGAAGCCAUUANNCCGAGGGCACAUCUGCC